AAGAGCAUUAGUAACUCCAGCAGAAAUCACAAUACAUAAUUAUAUAAGCAUAAACCAUAAGUAACAUGACAUGCAAAAGGAAAAGUUAAACAAAAUAGAAGUAAAAGGGCAUCCACAAAUAUUAAUUUAGCCACAUUCAGUAGAUAAAAUGGAACAAAAACAAAAGUAAAAGGGCAUCCACAAAUAUUAAUUUAGCCACAUGCAGUAGAUAAAAUGGAAUGCAUAAACAACGACCACUACCUAAAAGCCUAUAUCCUACAACCAUGAUACUAGACCUCCAGAUUCUCCUAUCAAGGGCCAUGUCCUCGGAAAUCCGCAUACUAGCCAUGUCAUACCUAAUCACCUCUUCUCAAUACUUCUUUGGCCUCCCUCUGCCUCGACUCGCGCCUACCACCUCCAAAUGCUCACAACUCCACCGGAGCAUCUGGGCUUCUCCUCCGCACAUGCCUGAACCACCUGAGCCUUGCCUCUCGCAACUUCUCAUCCACUGGGGCCACACCCACCUUUUCCCGAAUAACUUCAUUCCUAAUCUUAUCUAACCUGGUGAGCCCGCACAUCCACAUGAAUAUUCUCAUCUCCGCAACCUUCAUUCUCUGAACAUAAGAUUUCUUCACUGGC
rnacentral:lncRNA from 1 species